CCACUUUCCCUCCCGUACCCGCUAAACCUUUAUUCCCAAUUUUUUUUCAAUUUCCAUCAAAAUUUCUCCGGUUUUUGAUUCCAAACCCUAACCGUGUCAUUUCAUUCCACAAACUUCUUUCCAGAGAAAGAAACUGCAGAUUCCUUUUCCAAGUGAAGAUGCAUAAACCAUUGACGAACAACAUGCUUGUUCUUUACAAUAUGGAAUCCGGACAACAUGCUCACGAAAUCCCCACUUAGUCCGACCACAUUAAGCUCCAAUCCAUCAAGUGCAUUUCUUCCAGGUAAAUUUAUUUUCUUGCAACUUGUUGAAGAUUAGUAAAUUCAUGCAUGAUUUUAUCAUUUGAGUUCUAUCUACUCUUUACAUGACAUUUUGAUAUCUAGCUUGAAGCCUCCUAUGAACUGAUGUAGUUCAGUAAAAGUAUGCAUGCAUUAUUUGGUUCUUGUUAACGAGGAUGAUGGGAUAUUUCAAGAUGGUUUGGAAAAUGUUGAGAAUGAAGAGGAUAUUGUGAGAUUUUAAGACAAAAUAAAUGAAGAACUACAACCUUCAAUCAGGAGCCUUGAAGUUGAAAAACACAUAGUUGCUUGAAAUGUGAAAAGAAAAUGAAGACUACCAGCAAAGGAAAAAAUUUGAGCUAGAAGCUACGCGGAAAGAUUUUCACAGCCAACAUGCAAACUCUGAAGCUACGAUACCACGUAUUGUGAAAAAACUACUAUUAGAGUACUUUGGAAUCUUAGAGAUGAGUAGAAGGUUUACGUUACUUUUAUUCAUUGUAAUUGACAACUAUAUUUUAAUUACAUUCUUACUUUGAGGUUG